GGAAGGGUGGCAGAGUGGUUUAAUGCACCGGUCUUGAAAAUCGGAGAUGUCGUAAGGCAUCCGUGGGUUCGAAUCCCUCCCCUUCCG
rnacentral:tRNA from 1 species